rnacentral:tRNA from 1 species
GCCGGAGUAGCUCAAUUGGCAGAGCACCUGAUUUGUAAUCAGGGGGUUAAGGGUUCAAGUCCCUUCUCUGGCUCCA